UGGUGUAUUGGCUAUUCACAGUGAGGCUACUUAGUUUGACUGCAUGUUCUCUUGGUCCCUAGCCAUUAUAGUCUUUACUGUGUAUGUUGGCUAUUGUAGGUUCAGGUUUACUUUUUGGAGUAGGAUGCUCUUAGAUGGAAUUUGUCAACCUUGAUAGAAAAGGAGAAGUCCUAUACAAUUCAUAAGACUGAGUUCAGAAAAUCUCUGGCUAGAGUA
rnacentral:lncRNA from 1 species